CUGAUAAUCUUCUCAGUGUUCUGAUUCUGUAAUAACCAGGACAGGCUAAACAUUAGCCAUAUUGAGCAUGUGUUCCCAAACCAAGUUCUUAAUCUACCUAGGUCUGAUCUUAUAAACACUGGUGAUAAAA
ensembl:snoRNA SNORA72 Small nucleolar RNA SNORA72